ensembl:lncRNA LINC02610 long intergenic non-protein coding RNA 2610
UCUUAAAGCACUUGCCCAACGGUGAGCAACGGCCUCCAACGGUGCCCGAGGGACUCGCGCUGCCCGUUAAGCAGCUUUGCGGUGGCGGAGGCUGGGCUGCCGUCUCUCCGACAUCCCGGGACGGAGGAAGAGAUGAAGGCUCUGCAGCCCCCGCCGCCCGAUUUACGCUUGAGAAAGCGAAGGCGAGAGAGGUCGUCCAGCCCCUGGGGGCCCAGCCCUAGAGAGCGGGGCGCGGGCUGCGGGGCCCGGCGGCCUGGACGGCGGAGCGUUGAAAGCUCCCCCAGGGAUAGGAAGUGCAGCCGAAAUCAACGAUUGAGGUCAGUGAAGGAGCGGACGCUUGAGGCCUUGGAGGGGAAGCAGGUUUCUCCAGGAGGGAACCCGGGCCUCCGCUUUGCUCAGCGCUCCCCUCGCGAAUGUGUUGAGCACCUGUUAUGUGCUGGGGGUACAGAGGGUCUGAGCACCUCCCUCAUGCAGACAGAGCCCCGGCUCCCAUGUUCACCAUGCUGAGAAAGACCUGCGGGGGACAGCAGGAGGACAGCCGGGGAAUGGGCCCGCACUUGCCCAGGUGAGUGCUGUGGGGAGUCAGGCCAGCCCUGUGGAGAAGGCCGCUGGAAAGGGGGAACUGAUGCUGCCAUUCCUUAUAAAAAGGGCCACCCAGUCCAUGUAGCUGAGGACCAGCACCAGGCAGGAUCUUUAAUGGGACUCUGGGCUUUGUUAAAGGGCCACAGGCUUGUUUAGGGAGGUGGGGACAGAGUCAGGAGGGAGAAGUACCACUUCUCCUGGGAGCGGCACAUGGCAUGGAACAAAAUAGCCCUGGGGCACGCCCUGAGCCCAGCCCUAGUUUUCUAGCUAAGGAUCAGGUGAGAACCCCCAGACCUCUAGCUCCUCUCAGGAGGCUGGCUGCUGGCUGGUUCCUCUUCCAGAAGUCCGUGCAGAUCCUGUCCUCUGGCUUUGCCUUGCCUAAGACCCAGUCUGCACCAAGGCUGAGUCCCUGGACUUCUGGAGAGAGAGGGCUGUCCCUUUGUGCCCUACAAGUACAGUGUGUGGGCGCCUCCCCUGGGCCCUGCACAGGUUCUGUGGCACCGGCAGCAUGCGGGAAGGUGGGAGGAGGCACACCCUGCCUUUGGGAAGCUGAGAACAGAUCCCUGGGGGCAACCUGUGCCCCUGUAACCAGGAGGAGUCUCAAUAGGAAAUUUUAGCUGCUCCUGGUGGAGCAGGGCCUCUGUCUUAAGGAGAGUGGAAUUUCCGAGGGACAGACAUUUCCUGACCAUUUGUGUAUAGGAAUCAAGGCAAUGAGAGAACAAUCAACAGGGCAUGGGAGAUGAGAAAAAGGUGAGAUGACCUCUGACAGGCAGGCUCCUGAAGGAAGGCUUCCUGGAGGAGGUGGCAUGUGAGCCCUGCAGGACAGGUAGAGGUUGGAGGAUGAGACAGAGGAGGGGGCCUUGCCUUUCAGACCCCAGGCGCCACCAUGCUCCCCAUCUUGACUUGGGAAUUUCCCAGUGACAGGGCAGGAGUGAAGUGCAGGGCCUUCCCACUGCUGGGAAUUUGGCUGUGUUGGCGCGUGGGGUCUGCCCUGGGGCGCGUGCUGCCUUCGCUAGCUUCACCCCAUUUCCCUCUCUCCCCUUCUUACCAUCAGAGGCAGAGCUCGUGCAUGCCCGACCUCGCUCCUCACGGCUCCCUGGGCAGCAGCGCCCUGGCAGUUGGAACUGGAAGGCUUAUCAGAGUCCACGCAGCCCCACCGCCCUCCCCACUCUCGGGGGUGGGCAUCGGGGGACAGGGCCAGGGCAGGGAGGAAGACAGGGCCCGGCUCACCCCACAGCUCAGCCCAUGAGGGUGCGCAGAGCAGGGCUGGCAGGAGUGGGCCACUCCACACCCAGCCCUGUUGAAGAGAAAGAACAGAAAUAGGGAACAGAAAGUUGUCGAUUGCUGUGUAACAAAUUGCCCGCAGUUUAGUGCCUUCAAACAAACGUAGCUGCACAGUGUCUGUGGGUCAGACAUCCAGGCCCGGGGAAGGAGCCUCUGCCUCAAGGUCCCUCCCGAGGCCUCAGUCAGGGCCCGGCCGGACUGUGAGUAGAUUGCACGCUCCGUGCGGGGAGGCUCGGCUUCUCUGCUGGCCCCGCGCCUGUGGGCAGGAUUCAGUUCCUCAUGGGCUAUUAGAGUGAGGGCCUCGAUCUUUUCUGCUGUUUGGCUGGAGGCCUCGCUCAGUUCUCUGCUGCACGGACCUUUCCUUGGCACAGCUCCCGCAUAGCUGAGCAAGCCGCGAAGGCGGGCUCCUGCAGCCGAAGGGAAUUCUCCCCUGUUUCUGCUGUGUUCUGUUUGUGUAGGUUCAGCCCCGGGGAGGAGGUUCCACAGGACAGACAGACCAGGAGUUGGGGGCGUUGAGGGCCAUCUCACAGGCUGCCCACCACAGCCCCCACGCAGCCACCUGUGUCUGUGUUCUUGCCACUGUCCCUACCCUCCAGGAGUGGGUCUGGUCUCAUCAGGGAGGGCAGCGCUCUCUUCACUCUGUCCUUACUCUGGUGUUUCACUGUGAUUUUAAAAACUGAAACUGCACUUGUUACCCCUUGACAGAGCUGCACCCUGAGAGGGCCUCUGCGACGCCCCUCCUUCUCUUAAGCCUUUCCAAGCUGUCUGACGAUUUUUAAAUCCCAUUUCCUGAGUGACACAGAGCAUCUUUUCUUAAGCUUAUGAGUGACUUAUUUGUGUUUUCCUCAAAGCUAGAGGGGACCCCCAAUCUGUUUGUUUCCAGAGUCCCUGAUGGUGUCGUCUUGGGAGUGGAGGAACCUGAGGGAAAAGCCCAGGGACGAGUCAGGGGAGAGCUCUGCCCUGGUGCUCUUGCACGUAUCCACAUGGGCCACAGCUGCACCCGGCUCUCAGCAGAGGGCAUCGCCAUGCUCCUGGGCACAGCCGGGCCCUCUCGCCUCCCUGCGGCUCCUGAUGCCUCCCAGGCUCCGCUGAGGUCACCUUGGGCACUUAGCGUGGCUGCAGCUCUUUGCAGCCCCGUGUCCUGUCAUCCAUGUGGCCGUCAUGUGGUCACUUUUGGGCAUUGCCCUGCGCAAGGUCCAUGGGGACUGGGCACCUUUGGCCAUUCUUUCUUUGGUUGUCUGUGCA